rnacentral:rRNA from 1 species
AACGAACGCUGGCGGCAUGCCUAACACAUGCAAGUCGAACGAGACCUUCGGGUCUAGUGGCGCACGGGUGCGUAACGCGUGGGAACCUGCCCUUAGGUUCGGAAUAACUCCCCGAAAGGGGUGCUAAUACCGGAUAAUGUCUUCGGACCAAAGAUUUAUCGCCUUUGGAUGGGCCCGCGUUGGAUUAGCUAGUUGGUAGGGGAAAAGCCUACCAAGGCGACGAUCCAUAGCUGGUCUGAGAGGAUGAUCAGCCACACUGGGACUGAGACACGGCCCAGACUCCUACGGGAGGCAGCAGUGGGGAAUAUUGGACAAUGGGCGAAAGCCUGAUACAGCCAUGCCGCGUGAGUGAUGAAGGCCUUAGGGUUGUAAAGCUCUUUUACCCGGGAUGAUAAUGACAGUACCGGGAGAAUAAGCUCCGGCUAACUCCGUG